CAACCAUUAUAUGAUUUGCAUGUUAUAUCAUUAAGGGUAAUUAAGUAAUUUGGUAUUUAAGUUAAUAAAAUUAAAACAAAACAAAUGAAAUUCAUUUUGUUCAUCUUAGUUGACCGAAUUUGAAGAAGGAGAAGCCAUUAAAAUACCUUGAACAUUCGACCAUUUGCAUGAUUCAUUAAUCAAGAAAAACAGAAUUCGGACCUAGAUCGGGGGAAACCGAAAGUUAUCGACUAAACGACUCAAUUCGCAGUUUUAGCAUCCCAGAUUUUGAAAGCUAGCUUGAGUUCGGGGAUCAUCCAGGAACAUCGUCAUUUUAUCGAUCGUUAUUUCGGUACCUUAUAAGUUUGUACUUUCGACUUAUGGCAUGUAUAGACUAGUUUCGAUAUGGUAUAUUUUGAUUAGUGUAUAUAUAUAGCCAUGUGAAAAUGGCUCAAUAAUACUGUUAAUGUUUGUGAAUAUUAUGCCAUGAAUUGAGCUCAUUUUAGAAGUAUGUUAUAUAGUAUAUAAUUGUGUGAUAAUAAGGAUGUCCAAAUAAGUUUGCUGA